GAGUAACGCGUAGGUAACCUGCCUGGUAGCGGGGGAUAACUAUUGGAAACGAUAGCUAAUACCGCAUAAUAUCUUUGAUUGCAUGAUUGAAGUUUGAAAGAUGCAACUGCAUCACUACCAGAUGGACCUGUGUUGUAUUAGCUAGUAGGUGAGGUAAAGGCUCACCUAGGCGACGAUACAUAGCCGACCUGAGAGGGUGAACGGCCACACUGGGACUGAGACACGGCCCAGACUCCUACGGGAGGCAGCAGUAGGGAAUCUUCGGCAAUGGGGGCAACCCUGACCGAGCAACGCCGCGUGAGUGAAGAAGGUUUUCGGAUCGUAAAGCUCUGUUGUAAGAGAAGAACGUGUGUGAGAGUGGAAAGUUCACACAGUGACGGUAACUUACCAGAAAGGGACGGCUAACUACGUGCCGGCAGCCGCGGUAAUACGUAGGUCCCGAGCGUUAUCCGGAUUUAUUGGGCGUAAAGCGAGCGCAGGCGGUUGGAUAAGUCUGAAGUUAAAGGCUGUGGCUCAACCAUAGUAUGCUUUGGAAACUGUUCAACUUGAGUGCAGAAGGGGAGAGUGGAAUUCCAUGUGUAGCGGUGGAAUGCGUAGAUAUAUGGAGGAACACCGGUGGCGAAAGCGGCUCUCUGGUCUGUAACUGACGCUGAGGCUCGAAAGCGUGGGUAGCGAACAGGAUUAGAUACCCUGGUAGUCCACGCCGUAAACGAUGAGUGCUAGGUGUUAGGCCCUAUCCGGGGCUUAGUGCCGCAGCUAACGCAUUAAGCACUCCGCCUGGGGAGUACGACCGCAAGGUUGAAACUCAAA
rnacentral:rRNA from 1 species